GAUGAACGCUGGCGGCGUGCUUAACACAUGCAAGUCAUGGGGGCCCAGCAAUGGGCAACCGGCGAACGGGUGCGUAACACGUGAGCAACCUACCCAGGUGUGGGGGGUAGCCGUCCAACGGACGGGUAAUACCGCAUACGCUCUUCUUUAGGCAUUUAGAGAAGAGGAAACCUUCGGGGCACCAUGAGGGGCUCGCGGCCUAUCAGCUAGUUGGCGAGGUAACGGCUCACCAAGGCUACGACGGGUAGCUGGUCUGAGAGGAUGGCCAGCCACAUUGGGACUGAGAAACGGCCCAGACUCCUACGGGAGGCAGCAGUGGGGAAUCUUGCGCAAUGGCCUAACGGCUGACGCAGCGACGCCGCGUGAGGGAUGACGCUCUUCGGAGUGUAAACCUCUUUUGACCGGAACGAAUUGCCACCUUCAGGUGGCUUGACGGUACCGGUUGAAUAAGCACCGGCUAACUCCGUGC
rnacentral:rRNA from 1 species